CUCUUAAACACCUGCCCACAACUCAGAUGUCACAACCAACCUUGCUCCUCCUAUAAGAUCUAUACAACCCCCUUGCCCAUCUCUUCUCGGCUAGGCACUUCAUUCUAAGUGCAUUUCAGUAAUUUCCUACCCGCCCCCAUCCCAUCCUCACCAUACCACACCGUGCCAACCUCAGCCACAGUGUCCCAACUAAGGGUAUGGCUGAGAGAAACCUCACCAGGCCCUCCCGCUUCCAUAGAAGGGGAUUUUACUGCUCCUGUUGUCAGAGAGAUGCUGUUGUAAAAGAAUUAGAAAUACCUGGUGGUUUCGAAUGGCCCCUGCAGGCUCAAAGGUUUGAAUAUUUGGUCACCAUUGAGUGGUGCUAUUUGAAAGGAUUAGGAGGCGUGGCCUUGUUGGAGGAAGUGUGUCACCUAGGGUGAGCUCUGAGGUUCAAAAAGCUCUUUAGAAGUCCAGAGUCUCUCUCUUCCUGCUGCCUGCUGAUCCAGAUGUAGAACUCUCAGCAACUUCUCCAACACAUGUCUGCCGGCAUGCUGCCAUGAUGACAAUGGACUAAACCUCUGAAACUGGGACUCAGCAAGCAAAUUAAUAAUGCAAUGGGAUGCAAGGGAGAAUCUUUACAACAUGGAGGCAGAAUUUUAAAGUGCGAUUUUAGCGCCUCAGAACCGUCAGCAUGCUGUAUGUACACAACUAUGGUAAUUGUACACAGGAACCAUUUCUUCCUUCCAUCGCCUGCUUAGGCAUCAUCCCUGUAACCUAUUUGUGGUCAUCACUGAACUUGAAAAUAAAAGUUCUUUGAAAAUUCCUCUC